rnacentral:rRNA from 1 species
GGCAUGCCGGCCGUGCUAAUACUGCAGUCGAACGCUUUUUCGUUCCCUGGAUCUCGCUCCACCGAAGGAAAAAGAGUGACUAACGGGUGAGUAACCCGUGGGUAACCUGCCCAUCACACGGGGAUAACGCUUGUAAACCGGUGCUAAUACCGUAUAACACUAUUUUCCACAUGGAAGAAAGUUUAAAGGCGCUUUUACGUCUGUGAUGGAUGGACCCGCGGUGCUUUAUCUAGUUGGGGAUGAAACGGCUCACCAAGGCAACGAUGCAUAGCCGACCUGACAGGGAGAUCGGCCCCACUGCGACUGACACACGCCCCAGACUCCUACGGGAAGCAACAGUACGGAAUCGUCCGAAAUGGACGAAAAUCUGACCGACCAACGCCGCGUGAGUGAACAAAGUUUUCGGAUCGGAAAACUCUGAUGUUAGAGAAGAACAAGGAUGAGAGUAAAAUGUUCAUCCCUUGACGGUAUCUAACCAGAAAGCCACGGUUAACUACGUGCCAGCAACCGCUGUAAUACGUACGUGGCAAGCAUUGUCCGGAUUUAUUGGGCGUAAAGCGAGCUCAUGCGGUUUCAUAAGUCUGAUGUGAAAUCCCCCGGCUCAACCGGGGAGGGUCAUUGGAAACUGGGAGACUUGAAUGCAAAUGAAGAUAGUGGAAUUCCAUGUGUAGCGGUGAAAUGCGUAGAUAUAUGGAGGAACACCAGUGGCUAAGGCGGCUCUCUGGUCUGUAACUGACGCUGAGGCUCGAAAGCGUGCGGAGCUAACAGGAUUAGAUACCCCUGGUAGUCCACGCCGUAAGCGAUGAGUGCUAAGUGUUGCACGGUUUCCGCCCUUUCAGUGAUGCAGUAAACGCUUUAACCGCUCCGCCUGGGGCACUACGACCGUCACGGUUGAAACUCAAAAGGAAUUGACAGAGUGCCCGCUACAAUCCGGUGAAUCAUGUGGGAUUCAUUCCGAAGCAACGCUUACAAGCUUUACCAGGUCCUGGAAAUCCUUUUGAACCAUUCUGAAAAAUUCAAUCUUCCCCCUUCAGGGGGCAAAAUGGACAGGUGGUUGCCAUGGAUUUUCGUUCACCUCAGGGUCCUGGAAAUAGUUGGGGUCAAUUCCCCGCAACGAGUGGAACCCUUUAUUGGUAAGUUGCCAAUCAGUUAACUUGGGGCGUACUAAGCCGGAACUGACCGGUGGAAAAAACCGGUAGGAAAGGGGGGGGAAUCCUUCAAACCCAUCUUUGCCCCCUUUGGGGACCGUGG